rnacentral:lncRNA from 1 species
ACCAGGAAGCAAAGUCGGACCGGUGGGUUUUCAAAAUUGCACCGCCGUUCUUUAGUAGAGGUCCAUCGAUUAAGUCACCAAAAGUAAGGCCUGAUAUCGAAGAGGGGUCGACAUCACGCAGUGUGAAAAUGGCAGUCAAAAUGCCGUCGUUCAAAUGCUUAGAGCCAAAAGGUGAUGAACCCGGUUUGCUAACAGAAGACUCGGCUC